rnacentral:rRNA from 1 species
UACGAAGGGGGCUAGCGUUGUUCGGAAUUACUGGGCGUAAAGCGCACGUAGGCGGAUAUUUAAGUCAGGGGUGAAAUCCCAGAGCUCAACUCUGGAACUGCCUUUGAUACUGGGUAUCUUGAGUAUGGAAGAGGUAAGUGGAAUUGCGAGUGUAGAGGUGAAAUUCGUAGAUAUUCGCAGGAACACCAGUGGCGAAGGCGGCUUACUGGUCCAUAACUGACGCUGAGGUGGCGAAAGCGUG